rnacentral:lncRNA from 1 species
AAAAAAGCAGGCACAAGAAGUUGUAAAGAGCAGACUUUGUGUCUUCCAGCCUUCACGUUUCUCCUGUGCUGGAUGCUUCCUGCCCUUGAACAUCAGACUCCAAGUUCUUCAGCUUUUGGACUAUGGACUUAUGCCAGUGAUUUGUCAGGGGCUCUGGGGCCUUUGGCCACAGUCUGAAGGCUGUACUUUCAGCUUCCCUACUUUUGAGCGUUUGGGUCUCAGACUGGCUCCUCAGCUUGCAGAUGGCCUAUUGUGGGACUUCACCUUGUGAUCAUGGUCUCCCUCUGUUGCCCAGGCUGGAGGACAGUGGUAUAAUCAUAGCUAACUGCAGCUUUGAACUCCUGAGAACAGCAAUCCUCCUUCCUCGGUCUUCCGCAGCAUUGGGAUUACAGGUCCUGAAGAAAAUGAAGUUGAUGUUUCAGUGAGACACCUGUAUGCCAGAGAGUAAAAGGGAUUAUUGUGGAUUCCUGAGAAUUUUCUACAUAUGAAAUCAUGUCAUCUAUGAACAGAGAUGGGACUGUCUCGUUGGAGGAAAACAAGCUCAGGGCUCCCACUGAUUCCACAUUAUGUUGCAAGCUCCUACGAAGCUCCCACUCAAAAAGAAAAAAAAAACAAAACCUGAAAUCUGAAAUAGAAAUUAUCAGCCCGAGAAUGAGAUGUCCCUAAUGCAUAAAGAGUUCUGCUAAGGAAAUGAAGCAUGUUCUUCAAGCAAGAAAGAAACUCUUUUCUGGAUUACAGUUAUUCUGACAGCCACAGGCCUCACAGAACUAGCAUAGCCAAGAUUUACACUUCAAAGGUAAUAUAUGAAGCAGUAAUAUGUCACCUGAUGAUAAUGCAUAUUCCUUUGUGUACUUGAUCUUAGUGAUAUUAAAUCCUUUUUUAUAUACACAUGCAAAUAAACUAUGCCAUGGUUAAAUUUUGCUGUAAAAUGUCCAAUUGUUCAAGUGAUUAGGAAAAGGUUAUAAUUUCUUAAGACCAUAUCAACACAUUAACUCAUUUUUUUCCUAGGAAUAGAAUAAAAAAAUACAUGACUAUUAUUUGUUUUAGUUUGCCUUAUUUAUUAAUUAUUUAUUUUUGAGACAGUCUUGCUCUGUCACCCUGGCUGGAGUGCAGUGAUAGGAUCAUAAUUCACUGCAGUCUUGAACUCCUGGACUCAGGUGACCCUCCCACUUCAGCCUCCCAAGUAGCUGGGAUUACAGGCAUUCACCACAACACUGAG